UGGGGAAUAUCGCACAAUGGGCGAAAGCCUGAUGCAGCAACGCAGCGUGAGUGAUGAAGGCCUUCGGGUUGUAAAGCUCUGUCUUUUGGGACGAUAAUGACGGUACCAAAGGAGGAAGCCACGGCUAACUACGUGCCAGCAGCCGCGGUAAUACGUAGGUGGCAAGCGUUGUCCGGAUUUACUGGGCGUAAAGGAUGCGUAGGCGGAUUUUUAAGUGAGAUGUGAAAACCCUAAGCUUAACUUGGGGACUGCAUUUCAUACUGGAAAUCUAGAGUGCGGGAGAGGAGAAUGGAAUUCCUAGUGUAGCGGUGAAAUGCGUAGAGAUUAGGAAGAACACCAGUGGCGAAGGCGAUUCUCUGGACCGUAACUGACGCUGAGGCAUGAAAGCGUGGGUAGCAAACAGGAUUAGAUACCCUGGUAGUCCACGCCGUAAACGAUGAGUACUAGGUGUAGGAGGUAUCGACCCCUUCUGUGCCGCAGUUAACACAAUAAGUACUCCGCCUGGGAAGUACGAUCGCAAGAUUAAAACUCAAAUGAAUUGACGGGGGUCAUAGCUGUUUUCCU
rnacentral:rRNA from 1 species